UCCGCCGCCUCCAUUUUACUUGUACUUUUUAUUCACAGCCACUGCUGCUAAGUGCCUUUCGGGAGAAGCAGAAGAGAUAAACAGGAGUUGGGGGGUUGGGGGGGGGGGGGUAUUCGCUGCAUAGAAUGUUCAGUCAUCAAUAAGAAUUCAACAUCUGGACAAAUUAUUCACACAAUUGCACUAAUUCAAAUUGUGUUUAAAGUCUCACCAGGGCCUGUUUUUUCUUCUUUCCCCGUCUAGUUCCACGUUUUGACGUGGUCUUAAUAUUCCACACAUGUUUGUGCAGGCGCGCAACUUAAUUUGAGUUGUGAUCAUCUUCUCCCGCGACAUUUAUCGAAGCCCGCCGGUCUCGGCGGCCUGAAGCGGACGGCGGCUCAGGCAGAUUGAGGGCAGCCAAUUCCGCCUGCGCGCUGCACUCCGCAUGUCAAUGAAGCUCCAGGGGGUUUGGAAAAGUGCUUCCGCCCAAAGGACUUAUUCCCCGAGUUGUUAGUCCAUAAACACGCGGGAUUGUGAACCGGGGAUUUGGCUACAAGUACUUGUGAUGUAAUUAGAUCAAAUCUUUGGUGAGACUGUCGAUAGCGGCGCUGUUGUGUCGUUUCCCCCCUCUUCCUUUAACCGCUCCACACUGACUUGUCAACACCUUUAUUGCAGACCAGCAGAAAUAUCAGCAACAGGUGCUUGUUUUUUACAAAGCUUAAUGUAAAUUUGCUGCAGCUUUAAGGGGCAUUAACAUGUUGCCCAUAAGAAUGCACACACAGCGCCACCGUGAUCCCUCAAAACAAGCUUCACUAAUAGAGUCUCACAGGCUGCGCUAAAUAUACUCACAUGUCUCUAUUGACGGUGAAGAGAAGGAUGCAUGUGAACGGCCUCUGUGGUCAUUGGUUAUUGUUAAAGCGUUUUGUGCACCGGCCCAACUCCCCCUAGAGCCUAAGCGCUGAGGGUCUAGGGUCUAGGGUCUAGGGGGCAGAUUGGGCCUUGGCCUCAAGUGCACAAGCUUAAUGACUUGGGGCGGAGGAGCAGGAGUCCAUUGAUCAGUGGUACCAGAACCCUUUGCUUUCCCAGACGCCUUCCAAAUCUUCCUACUGUGUCAAUAAGGAUUUUUUAAAAAAUCCUUGAUUCUAAAAAAUAGUUUGAACCACCAAAAGAAAUAACAGAUGAUGUCUGCGAGACUCUAAUACAUUAGAGUCCAGUGUGACGGGUAAUGUGUCUGACCCUGCUGAAGAUUACUCCUCUUUAUGGCCGCAGCUGAUCACAUUUUUCUAUUUUUUCCUUCCCAUUCUCUUCCCUUCCUUUAUUCCUGGCAGCCUGGGAUCAUAUUACCCAUCUUGGAAUGACUUCAACAGAGACACUGCUAUUCCCAGGGAGCUGUCUCUCCCCGCUGCAACUCAAUCCACAGCCAAUUGGACUGGCCCUGUGAUUUAUAGAAAACCGUCAUUCAGAGGAACCCAGACACACACACACACACACACACACACACACACACACACACACACACACACACACACACACAGACUGGGCAGCCUGUGCUGGUGGGUCUCAGAUCAGGACAGUUUAAGGCAGGGAGCAUCGCUGGGAGACACAACACAAACCACACAUCCUUCCCAUAGAGGCGAAGCGCUGUUUGCUUUUUGCAAAGCACGUAAAGCAGAAAAAGAUCUCUCUCCAUUUCUCUUCCAGUGUCUCGAUGGAACGCGAUACUCUGAGGAGAAACUCGCCCGCUGUUUGGGGGCGGAUGUCAUUUCUAAUCCGUCUCCAAGGGAGCGGUCCCGAUCGGCUGGGGGGCAGUGUCACGCUUGUCGUGUGCUGCACUGAUUAGCGGGAUUAUUCAUCUCGAUGAGUUACUUUAGCAUCCACACACUGAGUUAAUCAACGCGCCCCGUGGCGCCGAGGCCGGGGAGUGGUCAGCUGACAAUGCGCCCCCUUCACCUCACCCCCCCAUUCCUCUGGCACUCAUACGGCAGCGUUCAUCUAUAUUCACCACGACCAAAUUGUGAGAUUUCGGCGGGUUUACCGGCCGUCCCGGGUGUGCCGAUGGUGUUGAGUCCUCUCGUCUCUGAGACCAGAGCGGAUCCAGCUUCCCAUUCCAAACAAUAUCAUCUGCGCACGAUAAAAUCCGCUCGCAGUAUUCUAGGUCUCACGCUGGGUCUUUGGAAGCUCCCGUUUUCCCAAGCACAACACCCCCCCUCGCUGCAAAGUGAUGCAACGCUUCCAGCACAGAGGCAAUCGGCGGAGGAGGAGGGGCGGGGGGGCUCUGCUCUCCUGCUCCCACUUUAUCAACCUGACGGAUGUGAUCGCUGUAUUCAGCGGUGGGCAUCCUGAGGCUCGGAGCAGAGGUCAGGGAGGGGCGGCCGGCUCAGAUCCUCCACGUCCGUUCAUUUAUUUAUUUCCCCCUCAUUUUAUCGGCCCCUCAAUCCCAUGCGUUUCUUUUCUCUCUCUCUCUCCAUCUGCCUCUAAAUGACAGCGGAGCACCGGCGGUUUCUGCUUUGUCUGCGUGUGACCCGCCUCCUUUCAGUGGAGCCGUUCUCAGGCAGCGCUGAAGUGGAAGCGGGCGGCGGCGGCGGCGACACGCGGCUGUGCGCUGAUGGACUUUCCACUGGAGUGGAUUAAAUCAGCAUCAGACUAGUGGAGCUGAUUACCCCGAUAUGAAAUGCAGUAUCUUAAUGGUACAUAUUUUCAUGAGGCAGCCCAGUUGCCUUUCAUUUUGCUGCUAAUAUGUCUAUUCUUAUGAGUCAUUUACUUCUUUAAUUACCUUUAGCAGCAGAUGCACAAUGGUGUAUUAAUGUGAAUGAUUUUUACUGCCACUUUAUCACACUGAGCCCGUGAAGUUGAAAGGCGUAAUUGAGGCGGAAGAGAGACUCAUGAGAGGAACAAUAUUUAGCUGACAGCUCCUCUUGUACUCGGGGAGGCUGUUUAUGAGUUUACACACACUGAAGCUGUAACAAACACACUAUUCCUUUUAAUGGUGGCGGGGGGGACGGAAACGCUUCUCACUCAGCUCUGCUGGGUUAUUUAAUCAUCCCGGCACAAUCCGACAACACGUUGCGUGUCUGUGUGUGUGCAUUUGGUUGUGUGUGUGUGUGUGUGUGUGCUUCUCUUUGUAAUCCCUCAUUUUGCAGCAUGUGCGACUCUGCCGAUCCAUGUUGUUAGCGUGCCGCUAACACGCUGGCCAGGCGUCUUGUCUGCAGCCCGCGUUUCUCUGAUGAGCGCUGAAUGGAGGCCUUCUUUAGCCAUCUGCUAAGCUGCUGGCUAGGCAAUGGGGGGGGGGGGGGCAAACAAACAGCAAGCACACAGCAAUCGGUAGCUGUCAGGACGGCAUAGCUGAGCUGACCCCGGCGGGUUCGGGGGCCGGCCGGGACCCGGGAGCCCUCUGUACUAGGCUCCAAGCGGACGGGCCGCCUGCCCGAGGCGCUGCUCACCCCCCCUCACCCCCCCUCACCCCCUCUGCACCUCCUCCCAUAUGCUGCAUUCUGUCCUCUUUACUCUUCACACCCUGUCUGCGUCUUCCUGUGACCCCCCCUCUUCUCUCCCUCCAUCAUUCUUCUGUCUCCGCUCGCGGUUAAUAACUUUGCUUUGGUCUUGUUUUUCUUACAGGCAUUACCUGUUAUGGGGAGAGAGGGAGGUGGAGGGGGUCCAUGGGGGGAGUGUGUUGGACAAACAAAACAGGCUUUUUAUUAAAGUCAGAUUUGUUCUCAUGUAAGUGCACGCACUGCCUUAUUGUUUAAACGUGGAUAUUUGAAAUGUUUAGUGUUGUCAUAAAUAUUAAUAGAUUAGUUGAAAAGUGCAGCGAAGGAAAGGGAAUCUAAUGGUUGGGAGGGGGUAUGAACGUUGAUUUAUUUAUGUAUUCUACAUGAAUCUAAACACAGAAUGGAGAGUGUUGUUGGAAGGGCCCUGUAGUGCGCCGGGUCUGUGCAUCGGGGCCUGUUUUCCAUGUGGAGUGGCUUUUUGGAAAUGGCAUUAAUUACAUACUCACUGGGACUUUCCCUCCUUUGCAUUGCAGAUAAACGUGUUUUGCUGUGGAGAGAGAAGAGGGGGGGGGGGCAAGAAGGCAAUUAAUAUAAAUACAAAUGAUCCCGACCGCUCACGUGCUUAAAAAAUCUCCCCCCGCUGCAAUAAAUAGAAAAAACUGUGAAUUUCAUUACUGUGUGUUUGCAGUGUGAAAACCCGUUGAUGUAAAUGUGUGGAAAGUUUCCAUCAGCCCACGUUAUUGAUGAAACGCAUUAGCGUAGCGCGCUAGCAGCGUGUGUCCAAGGAGCAGCUUCCCCUCCGAGGAGCCGAGGGGCCGUUUCUUUGAAAAGGGGAAGCAGCACGAGUGAUAAAUGUCAGGUGAGCUGAGACGUGCGAUCAGUCGCAAAGUCCAGCAGAUAAUCUUGACAUUUAGGCCCCCAACCCCCCCCCGACCAGAGGGCCCGGCGUCUUCAGAGCCGGACUACAUUAAGAGCUCACCUAUUACUCGUGUUGUUGCUCUCUGAUGUCACACACACACACACACACACACACACACACACACACA
ensembl:lncRNA